UAAUGCACGUACGUCACCGAAUUCACUUCCUUGGUUUUGGUUUGAAGAUGCGUCCCAUUCUGUCUUAUAUUUACCAACAAAAGUUACUGCUAAAAACCAUGCAAAACAAUUAAUUCCCUGAUGUUCUUCACGAAAGCGGAGGAGAAUGGCUGAAAGAAGCAGACCCCAGACCAGGCAAAUCACCGUGAUGGAAACUGUUGCAUCCAGAUCUGUUGCAGCACUGAAAGAAUGAAGAGUGAAAGUAGCAGUUCCUCCUUAAGGUCAGAGAUUGCAGUAUCUGAGGGCCUCUUCAAAAGAAGACGUAGUUGAUGAAGGCGUUCUGGAGCAGGACCAGAAAGACCACGACCAAGCAGCCUUGAGAUCUUAGGCAGCGUUUCCCUCGGGUGGGUGUCAACGGUGUUCACGGUCAGGUCUGUGGUAAUCCCAUCAAAAAACAAAACAGAAAAAAAUCUAGAUUAUAAAUCAACAUGUAACCAAAGCACUCUGUGUAUAACGCCAUAGUAUAGGAUGUAGUUCAGAAAAUGCCAAAGUAUAGUAUACUUUUCAAGAAUAACAUAGUAUGGCCUGUAGUUCACAGUAUAGCAUGUCGGCAAAAAAAAACAACUGACUAUUAUGUGGUUCAAAAAGUGCAAAAUGACAGGAUGUUGCCUAAAAUUGUCAUGGAUGAUAUAUGGUUCAAAAAAUGUCAUAGUGCAGUAUAUUGUCAAAAUAGUAAGUUUUUCAAGAAAACAUCGGAGUAUAUGUCAUCUAAAAAAUGCCAUAGAAUAAUAUUUCAUUGCACAAGUAAAAGUAUAGUAAUUUUUAAAACUGUUCAAAUACUUAUGUUUCUAAAAAGCAGAAAAAACUAAAACAAAAAAAGUCAUAGUAAUAUGUCAGUUUAAAAACCCUAUAGUAUAGAGUGUCGCCCAACAAACGUCAUAGUAUAGCAUGUCGCUCUAAAAACGUGAUAGUAUGGCCUUUGAUCCAAAAAACAUCAUAGUAUAGCAUGUCGCGCUAAAAAUGUCAUAGUUUAGCAUGUCGCUCUAAAAAUGUCAUAGUACAGCAUGUCGCUCUAAAAACGUCAUAGCAUAGCAUGUCGUUCAAAAACAUCAUAGUAUAGCAUGUCUUUAAAAUUGUCACAGUAUAGCAUGUCGUCAAAAAACCUCAGAGUAUUGCCUUUGGUCUAAAAACGUCAUAGUAUAGCCUUUGGUCUAAAAACGUCAUAGUAUAGCAUGUGGCUCUAAAAACGUCAUAGUAUAGCUUGUUGCUCUAAAAAUGUCAUAGUAUAGUAUGUCACUCUAAAAACGUCAUAGUUUAGUAUGUCGCUCUAAAAACUUAAUAAUAUAGCAUGUCGCCCAAAAAACGUCAUGGUAUAGCAUGUCGUUCAAAAAACGUCCUAGUAUAGCAUGUCGCCCAAAAAACAUCAUAGUAUAGUAUGUCGCCCAAAAAAGUCAUAAUAUAGCCUUUGGUCCAAAAAAACGUCAUAGUAGAGCAUGUGGCUCAAAAAACGUCAUAGUGUAGCAUGUCGCUCUAAAAAUGUCAUAGUAUAGCCUGUCGCUCAACAAACGUCAUUGUAUAGCAUGUUGUCCAAAAAAAUGUCAGCGUAUAGCAUGUCGCUCUAAAAACGUCAUUGUAUAGCGUGGCGUCCAAAAAACGUCAUCGAAUAGCAUGUCGCUCUUGAAAUGUCAUAGUAUAGCAUGUCGCUCUAGUAUAGUCAGGCGUUUUUUUGCGCCAAAAUUCAUGAUGAUUUUUUUUCAAAGAAAACCUUUCUGGAGUGUUUUUCAUGCCCUCCUUUACAUUAUUUCAUCAUAUGGCACGUUUUUACAACAUGUUUGAAAAAUGGCAUUUUUUUUCGACAGUAUAGUCAGGCAUUUUUUUGCGCCAAAAUUUAUGUUUUUUUUUUCAAAGAAAACCUUUCUGGAGUGUUUUUCAUGCCCUCCUUUACAUUAUUUCAUCAUAUGGCACGUUUUUACAACAUGUUUGAAAAAUGGCAUUUUUUUUCAACAUAGUAUAGUCAGGCAUUUUUUUGCGCCAAAAUUUAUGUUUUUUUUUUCAAAGAAAACCUUUCUGGAGUGUUUUUCAUGCCCUCCUUUACAUUAUUUCAUCAUAUGGCACGUUUUUACAACAUGUUUGAAAAAUG